UGAACGCUGGCGGUAGGCCUACCACAUGCAAGUCGAGCGGCAGCACAGUAAGAGCUUGCUCUUACGGGUGGCGAGUGGCGGACGGGUGAGGAAUACAUCGGAAUCUACUUUUUCGUGGGGGAUAACGUAGGGAAACUUACGCUAAUACCGCAUACGACCUACGGGUGAAAGCAGGGGAUCUUCGGACCUUGCGCGAUUGAAUGAGCCGAUGUCGGAUUAGCUAGUUGGCGGGGUAAAGGCCCACCAAGGCGACGAUCCGUAGCUGGUCUGAGAGGAUGAUCAGCCACACUGGAACUGAGACACGGUCCAGACUCCUACGGGAGGCAGCAGUGGGGAAUAUUGGACAAUGGGCGCAAGCCUGAUCCAGCCAUACCGCGUGGGUGAAGAAGGCCUUCGGGUUGUAAAGCCCUUUUGUUGGGAAAGAAAAGCAGCAGGUUAAUACCCCGCUGUUCUGACGGUACCCAAAGAAUAAGCACCGGCUAACUUCGUG
rnacentral:rRNA from 1 species